rnacentral:misc_RNA from 1 species
GAGUGGUGUUUGGUUUGUUACGGGUGGUUGGCUCUUUGCUUGCGCAACAACUUCUACCCGGCAUACCUCUUCAGUCUUGUGUCAAUGCUUGUAUAGCACUGAAUGCACGGUGGGUUUCUUGUGUUGCAUUCCUAAUUAAUGGUAUCGUUUGAUGAAUUGGCUCUCCAUUUGUCUUGCGUCGCCUAUGCGAUGUGAGAUGAACCUUGAAGUAACCUUUGUGAUCCACUCUUCUGAUGCAUAUGCAUUGAUUUUGUGGCCCAUUGAGUGUUGCUUGGUCUCAUGGAUAUGGAACCUGUUGUGGGCAUGGAAUCCUUAAUGGUUCCCUGUUUGCCCAUGUUUAGCUUUUCUAAAACGAGUGUCUAUCAUGUGUUAACGUGGUAGACUACUUCGAAUAUGAUG